UCGGGGAUGGUGUAAUUGGUAACACAGCUGGUUCUGGCUCAGCUAUUGGGGGUUCAAGUCCUCCUCCCCGAG
rnacentral:tRNA from 1 species